rnacentral:rRNA from 1 species
AACGAACGCUGGCGGCAGGCUUAACACAUGCAAGUCGAACGCCCCGCAAGGGGAGUGGCAGACGGGUGAGUAACGCGUGGGAACAUACCCUUUUCUACGGAAUAGCUCUGGGAAACUGGAAUUAAUGCCGUAUACGCCCUACGGGGGAAAGAUUUAUCGGGGAAGGAUUGGCCCGCGUUGGAUUAGCUAGUUGGUGGGGUAAAGGCCUACCAAGGCGACGAUCCAUAGCUGGUCUGAGAGGAUGAUCAGCCACAUUGGGACUGAGACACGGCCCAAACUCCUACGGGAGGCAGCAGUGGGGAAUAUUGGACAAUGGGCGCAAGCCUGAUCCAGCCAUGCCGCGUGAGUGAUGAAGGCCUUAGGGUUGUAAAGCUCUUUCACCGAUGAAGAUAAUGACGGUAGUCGGAGAAGAAGCCCCGGCUAACUUCGUG